GGAGUUUGAGCUAUAUCGAUGGACCCAUUCCGGUGCCUCUUGAUGAGAUGAAGGAGGCACAAUGAUAAUGUUCUUUUGUUUUGGCAAGUCAAGCCUAUUGUACAUGUUUUUCAGCUUAGCGAGGAAGGUUCAUGUGAGGAUAU
rnacentral:sRNA from 1 species